AUUGAACGCUGGCGGCAGGCCUAACACAUGCAAGUCGAACGGUAACAGGAAGAAGCUUGCUUCUUUGCUGACGAGUGGCGGACGGGUGAGUAAUGUCUGGGAAACUGCCUGAUGGAGGGGGAUAACUACUGGAAACGGUAGCUAAUACCGCAUAACGUCUCAAGACCAAAGAGGGGGACCUUCGGGCCUCUUGCCAUCGGAUGUGCCCAGAUGGGAUUAGCUAGUAGGUGGGGUAACGGCUCACCUAGGCGACGAUCCCUAGCUGGUCUGAGAGGAUGACCAGCCACACUGGAACUGAGACACGGUCCAGACUCCUACGGGAGGCAGCAGUGGGGAAUAUUGCACAAUGGGCGAAAGCCUGAUGCAGCCAUGCCGCGUGUAUGAAGAAGGCCUUCGGGUUGUAAAGUACUUUCAGCGGGGAGGAAGGGAGUAAAGUUAAUACCUUUGCUCAUUGACGUUACCCGCAGAAGAAGCACCGGCUAACUCCGUG
rnacentral:rRNA from 1 species